rnacentral:rRNA from 1 species
CCUACGGGGGGCAGCAGUGGGGAAUAUUGGGCAAUGGAGGAAACUCUGACCCAGCAACGCCGCGUGAAUGAUGAAGGUCUUCGGAUUGUAAAGUUCUUUUCUAAGGGAAGAAGAAAGUGACGGUACCUUAGGAAUAAGCCUCGGCUAACUACGUGCCAGCAGCCGCGGUAAUACGUAGGAGGCGAGCGUUAUCCGGAUUUACUGGGGGUAAAGGUUGCGUAGGUGGCAGGGCAAGUCAGAUGGGAAAGCCCGGGGCCCAACCCCGGUACUGCAUGUGAAACUGUCCGGCUGGAGUGCAGGAGAGGUAAGCGGAAUUCCUAGUGUAGCGGUGAAAUGCGUAGAUAUUAGGAGGAACACCAGUGGCGAAGGCGGCUUACUGGACUGUAACUGACACUGAGGCACGAAAGCGUGGGGAGCAAACAGGAUUAGAUACCCUUGUAGUC